GUGUUCGUUGAGCCGAGAGACGGUUAGCAUCUCCCUCGACAAGGACGGGAUUGCGCGUUCUGCGUAUCCAAACCACUUGGAUGGUUUAAGCUCUGUCGGCCCCCGCCCGACAUCUAACCAGUUUUUUUU
rnacentral:ncRNA from 1 species